AAUGAACGUUGGCGGCGUGGAUUAGGCAUGCAAGUCGAGCGAGAACCCCGCAAGGGGGGACAGCGGCAAACGGGGUAGUAAUGUGUCGGAACGUGCCCAGAGGACGGGGAUAGCGGCGGGAAACUGCCGGUAAUACCCGAUGAUCUCGAGAGAGCAAAGGUGUGAUUCCGCCUUUGGAGCGGCCGACAUGGUAUUAGCUAGUUGGCGGGGUAACGGCCCACCAAGGCUUUGAUGCCUAGGGGAUGUGAGAGCAUGAUCCCCACCAUUGGGACUGAGACACUGCCCAGACACCUACGGGUGGCUGCAGUCGAGAAUCUUCGUCGAUGGGCGAAAGCCUGAACGAGCGACGCCGCGUGCGGGAUGAAGGCCCUUGGGUUGUAAACCGCUGUCGAGGGGGAUGAAGGCAUUCAGGUACUCCUGAAUGUUUGACAGAGCCCUGGAGGAAGCACGGGCUAAGUUCGUGCCAGCAGCCGCGGUAAAAC
rnacentral:rRNA from 1 species